rnacentral:rRNA from 1 species
UACAGAGGGUGCGAGCGUUAAUCGGAAUUACUGGGCGUAAAGCGUGCGUAGACGGCUAUCUAAGUCGGGUGUGAAAGUCCCGGGCUCAGCCUGGGAAUUGCAUUCGAGACUGAAUAGCUAGGGUACGGUAGAGGGAAGUGGAAUUUCCGGUGUAGCGGUGAAAUGCGUAGAUAUCGGAAGGAACAUCAGUGGCGAAAGCGACUUCCUGGACCAGUACCGACGUCAGGCACGAAAAGCGUGGGGAGCAAACAGG